AGUGGAUGGGGAGCAACCUAGUUGUGCGUGUGUAAAGGUAGUGCCAAGAAAAGCGAUGAUCAUGUUGAAAAUCAAUUCCCGGUACCCGAAACCGACACAGGUGGGCAAGUAGAGAAUACUAAGGGGCGCGAGGUAACUCUCUCCAAGGAACUCGGCAAAAUGACCCCGUAACUUAGGGAGAAGGGGUGCCACCGAGAGGUGGUCGCAGUGAAGAGGCCCAGGCGACUGUUUAGCAAAAACAUAGGUCUCUGCAAACUCGAAAGAGGAGGUAUAGGGGCUGACGCCUGCCCAGUGCCGGAAGGUUAAAGAAGUUGGUCAGUCUUAGGAUGAAGCUAGCGACUGAAGCCCCGGUGAACGGCGGCCGUAACUAUAACGGUCCUAAGGUAGCGAAAUUCCUUGUCGGGUAAGUUCCGACCCGCACGAAAGGCGUAACGAUCUGGGCGCUGUCUCGGAGAGAGGCUCGGCGAAAUAGGAUUGUCUGUGAAGAUACGGACUACCUGCAUUUGGACAGAAAGACCCUAUGAAGCUUUACUAUAGCUUGGAAUUGUGUUCGGGCUUCCUGUGCGCAGGAUAGGUGGGAGGCGUAGAAGGUAUUCUUGUGGGGAUACUGGAGCCAACGGUGAGAUACCACUCUCAGGAGGCUAGAAUUCUAACUUAAUUAAGGACAGUUUCAGGUGGGUAGUUUGACUGGGGCGGUCGCCUCCAAAAAGGUAACGGAGGCGUACAAAGGUUCCCUCAGACUGGUUGGAAAUCAGUCGAAGAGUGCAAAGGCAGAAGGGAGCUUGACUGCGAGAAGUACAGUUCGAGCAGGGUGGAAACACGGUCUUAGUGAUCCGACGGUGCUGUGUGGAAGGGCCGUCGUUCAACGGAUAAAAGUUACUCUAGGAUAACAGGCUGAUCUCCCCCAAGAGUUCACAUCGGCGGGGAGGUUUGGCACCUCGAUGUCGGCUCAUCGCAACCUGGGGCGGAAGUACGUCCCAAGGGUUGGGCUGUUCGCCCAUUAAAGCGGUACGUGAGCUGGGUUCAGAACGUCGUGAGACAGUUCGGUCCAUAUCCGAUGUAGGCGUGAGAAUAUUGAGAGGAGCCUUCCUUAGUACGAGAGGACCGGGAAGGACGCACCGCUGGUGUACCUGUUAUGAUGCCAAUUGUAAACGCAGGGUAGCCAAGUGCGGAGAGGAUAACCGCUGAAAGCAUCUAAGUGGGAAGCCCACCUCAAGAUGAGUAUUCUGGUGUAAGGUCACGGGAAGACGACCCGUAAAUAGGCACGAGGUGGAAGUGCAGAGAUGUAUGAAGCCGAAGUGUACUAAUAGACCGUCGGCUUGACC
rnacentral:rRNA from 1 species